GGGAGUUUAGUGUAUUGGUUGCACGAUAGUCUCCAAAACUAUUAGAGAGGGUUCGAUUCCUUCAACUCCUGCCA
rnacentral:tRNA from 1 species